rnacentral:tRNA from 1 species
GAGAGUGUAGCUCAGUAGUAGAGUGCCUGCUUAGCAUGCGUGAGCCCCUGGGUUCAAUCCCCAGCACCUCCA